rnacentral:misc_RNA from 1 species
UUGUAUGACAUCUGCUUCCGCACUCUGAAGCUUGCUACUCCAACUUUUGGUGAUCUUAACCACCUCAUAUCUGCUACAAUGAGUGGUGUUACUUGCUGCCUCCGGUUCCCUGGACAGCUUAACUCUGAUCUUCGAAAGCUUGCAGUUAAUCUUAUUCCAUUUCCUCGCCUGCAUUUCUUCAUGGUUGGGUUUGCACCUUUGACUUCUAGAGGAUCACAACAGUAUCGGGCUUUGACUGUCCCUGAACUAACCCAGCAGAUGUGGGAUGCCAAGAACAUGAUGUGUGCUGCUGAUCCAAGGCAUGGACGUUAUCUUACUGCCUCUGCCAUGUUCCGUGGAAAGAUGAGCACCAAGGAAGUUGAUGAGCAGAUGAUCAAUGUCCAAAACAAAAACUCAUCAUACUUUGUUGAGUGGAUUCCAAAUAAUGUGAAAUCCAGCGUCUGUGACAUUCCACCUAGGGGCCUCUCCAUGUCAUCCACCUUCAUUGGGAACUCUACCUCUAUCCAGGAAAUGUUCAGGAGAGUGAGUGAACAAUUCACUGCCAUGUUCAGGAGAAAGGCCUUCUUGCACUGGUAUACUGGUGAAGGAAUGGAUGAGAUGGAGUUUACUGAAGCUGAAAGCAACAUGAAUGAUCUGGUGUCUGAGUACCAGCAGUACCAGGAUGCUACUGCUGAUGAGGAGUAUGAAGAUGAGGAGGAAGAGGAAAUGGAGCACAUGUGAAGGACUACAAAGUAAGAAGUGAUUAUUGGCUUAGCUAUGGUAUAUUAUGGGAAGCUAUUGCACAAUCAGCAUUCUAGCUGGUAUCUGGUUAUAAGAGGGGAAAUGAACUUCACCAGGAGCAUAAGAACAUUACUCAUUUUCAUUUCCACUAAUUAAGAAGUAAUGACUGGUGAAGGGGCCAAGUUGAAUAAAUGCUUAGAAGUAGCUAUAUGAUCUAUGAUAUCUGUACUGUUCAUUAUAUUAUGUAGUAUGUUGUUAUUUCAUAUUUCAGCUGAUAAAUUUGUACCGUGCACCCUCUCCCUCUCCUAUAAUAUAUGGAGCAUGAUGAUAUUUAUGGACGUUGAAAGAUGGCUCGUUUAAUGCGUGUUAUAUCUGAAUUACAUUUUGUUGAUGAA